rnacentral:rRNA from 1 species
UUUAUUCGAAGCAACGCGAAGAACCUUUCCCAGGUCUUGACAUCCUCUGACCACCCUAAAAAUAAGGCUUUCCCCUCCCGCUUAACGACCGACAGGUGGUGAAUGGUUGUCGUCCCCACGUAUCGUGACAUGUUGGGUUAAGUCCCGCAACGAGCGCAACCCUUGAUCUUAUUUGCCAGCAUUCAUUUGGGCACUCUAAGGUGACUGCCGGUGACAAACCGGAGGAAGGUGGGGAUGACGUCAAAUCAUCAUGCCCCUUAUGACCUGGGCUACACACGUGCUACAAUGGAUGGUACAAAGGGCUGCAACCCCGCGAGGGUGAGCUAAUCCCAUAAAACCAUUCUCAGUUCGGAUUGUAGGCUGCAACUCGCCUACAUGAAGCCGGAAUCGCUAGUAAUCGCGGAUCAUCAUGCCGCGGUGAAUACUUUCCCGGGCCUUGUACACACCGCCCGUCACACCACGAGAGUUUGUAACACCCGAAGUCGGUGGGGUAACCUUUU